GAUGUUUUUAUUGUCUCACUACUUUCUUUUUAUUUAACAAAUAUUUGUCUUACUUUUAAACUCUGAAUUGUUGGAAAUGGUCUCGUAAGUAAGCAUUUCACUGUAAAGUCUAAACCUGUUGUAUUCGGCGCAUGUGACAGAUAACAUUUUAUUUGAUUUUAAGAAUAUAGCAUACCUAAUCAUAAACCAGUGUGAAAACUCCUGCAGUUAUAGAAUGACUUAUUCAUUGACUGACUGUUGUCUUGUGUGUAUGCUACUCCUCCCCCAGUGUGGUCUAAGAACAGUAAGCCUGUCCACACCACCAUCCUGAACCCCCAUAUCCACCUGGUCGGGGAGGAAGCUGCUUGCAUCGCCUACAUCCGUAUCACACAGUAUAUCAACACCAACAGCAUGCCCCGCACCUCCCAGUCUGAGGAGACACACAUCUGGCACCGCCGUGAUGGCAAGUGGCAGAUAGUCCACUUCCACCGCUCUGCAUCACCCUCCGCCAUCACCAAGUAAGCCAGUCUGCUGAACUCCAGAGCAGGAGGGUUUGAGUGAGACGUCUCUCUGAGUGACACCUGUGGGCGACCAGCCGGCUGCAUGGGGACACAGAGGGAUGCCCACCGACCAGCCUGAGGAACCAUGAUCUCGCCCGCCCUCUCUUUACUUGAAAUCAGUUUACGCCUCCUCUCAACUCUGUUAGAAGGAAAUCGCAGCAACGUCCAACCUUCCCCCCCCAACAAGAAUUAUCCUGAGCCACACCCCUUGUCGACCAAAAAACACCACAGCACCACC